rnacentral:rRNA from 1 species
GGGUCUGAUGCUAUUGCACCACAUGUGUUUUUCUUUGAAACAAACUUGCUUUGGCGGUGGGCCCAGCCUGCCGCCAGAGGUCUAGACUUACAACCAAUUUUUUAUCAACUUGUCACACCAGAUUAUUACUAAUAGUCAAAACUUUCAACAACGGAUCUCUUGGUUCUCGCAUCGAUGAAGAACGCAGCGAAAUGCGAUACGUAAUAUGAAUUGCAGAUAUUCGUGAAUCAUCGAAUCUUUGAACGCACAUUGCGCCCUCUGGUAUUCCGGAGGGCAUGCCUGUUUGAGCGUCGUUUCUCCCUCAAACCGCUGGGUUUGGUGUUGAGCAAUACGACUUGGGUUUGCUUGAAAGACGGUAGUGGUAAGGCGGGAUCGCUUUGACAAUGGCUUAGGUCUAACCAAAAACAUUGUUUGCGGCGGUAACGUCCACCACGUAUAUCUUCAAACUUUGACCUCAAAUCAGGUAGGACUACCCGCUGAACUUAAGCAUAUCAAUAAGGGGAGGAA